CCCUGGCGCUGCUGCCAAAGAAGCUGUGAGUGCCCCGUCCCUAGAGGUACUCACGGCCGGGUUGGAUGUGGCUCUUGGCAGCCUCAGCUGCUGGGUGGGAGCCCUGCCCAUGGCAGGGGUUUGGCACUGAUAGUCUUUAAGGACCCUUCCAACCCAAACCAUACUACGAUGUGAAGCCCGAAUCUUGUCCUGCCUCCUUUCUGAUAAGAGAAGCGAUACAGCACACCUCAGAACUGUCCUGCUGGCUUGUAGUAGCGCAUCUUUCCCUGUGACUCUAUGUGUUUAAACGUAGCAUAGCAAAAACUCUUAUUACAUAUUUUUUCUUUCUGUUUUUGUGUUAAUGUGCAGAAGGCCGCUGCUGAGAGGAGUCCUCAGGAAGCCGUUGGAGAGCUCAGAGACAGGAGCAGAGGAUGACGCAGCAGGGAGCUGUUCUUCAAGGUUACAACAACGAGCUCGUCAAGUGUAUUGAAGACUUGUGUAUGCAAAAAGAGGAGCUGAACAAACAGAUCCAGCAAGCAGAAGAGGAAAAAAGUAAACUCCAGCAUGAAAUUCAAGUUCUGAAUGAACAGUUGGAGUGCGUGUGUGAAAACCUGGCUCAGAAGGUAGCUUCACGAAAUGAGCUUGAUAAAAUUCUUGCUGAAACUGAAGCUGCUUACAUGAAGAUUUUGGAUAGUUCCAGAACUUUGCUUAAUGUCCUGAAGAAGGAAGUGGGAAGCUUAAAGCAUGCGCCAGAACUGAAAAGUAAUGUAACCUGAAGCUGUCAAAUGUCUGGACUUGGCAAUUCUAAAAUCCCACUAGGAUGCUAAAACUGAAAAAAGGAAUCACAGAAUCAGAGAAUCACCAAGGCUGGAAAAGACCUUCAGGAUCAUGCAGUCCAACCAGUCACCUAUCACCAAUAGUUCUCACUAAACCACGUUCCUCAACACAGAAUCCAACCAUUCCUUGAACACCUCCAGGGUCGGUGACUCCACCACCUCCCUGGGCAGUCCAUUCCAGUGCCUAACCACUCCUUCAGAGAAGUACUAUUUAAAAAAAAUUGAGUCUUUAAAGAUGUGUACUUCACAACCUUUAUUUCCUCAAAGUGCAGCUGUAUACUUGGAAAUGUAUUUAAGUUCAGAUCCAUAAAUGGAGAGCAAUAGUAGUAUAUCUCCAGGGCUGUUGUCAAGUGACUGCAGCCUGGCAGUCAUUGGGAAGUGCACCAGUGUAGCUCAAAAAUGCCUCCUGCCUUUAUAUUUUGUAUUGACCCAAAUUAUUUUAGUGCAUCCUAUUACUGAAGUCAAAAGCUUUUUUCAAGUGCAUGGGUGUUCUGUCUUUUUGUCAGAAGUUAGGUAUAUUGCAAAUCUUGGCAUAGAAAGCUUUUCUUUAAUAGUUUAAGUUUAUUUAGAAAACAAACUAAGGCAUUGCUAGAAUAGAACUGGUAAUGUGGAGAUGACAGCAGCUGUGUAAGGUUAGCCUGCAAAGGAAAGUUUGCCUGAAAUAAGACUGGCUAUAAAUCUAAAGCAUCAUAUUUGUUCCUGGCUUUAUAUAUAUAUAUAUUUUGUCAAUUUUUAUAUGGCUUUGAGGGUUACACCCAGUAAGAUACAUGUCUAUUACAAGCUAGAAGCUGUAAUGGCAAAGUUUGUGUUACUGAUCUGUGGUGCUGGAUCAGAAGCUGUGCUGGGUGUGUUGUGCCUUAUUUGCUGAACGAAGACACACAGAUUUUGGAAUGCUUAUCUGUGCUUGAUUCAAAGCUUCAGUGAGAUACAUCCAGAGCACUGGGAUCACUUCCUGACUUAACGUCAUGGUGCUUCUUCUACCUGGCUUGCAAGUAACAGUGUGGAACUGGAGGAGAGCUGUAAGUGUAUUUGUAGUGAGCCAUAACCUGCAGUUCCUGCUGCCCAAUAAAUCCAAUUUUGGAUAUCAACUGAGGCUGACCAUAAGUCAGGACAGCCUCCCUCAUAUUUCCUCUUCCUGGACUUUUAUUCUCCUGGCCAAAUAAGUUGGCGUGUUCUGCUUUGCAGUGACCAGCUCCAACAGGAGGCUAUUGGGAGCACUGUCCAGAGGGUCUGAGCAGAGCAAUGUCCUGAGAGAGGUGAUGCUUUGCCUUCCUGUAAGGUGAGAGAGCCCCAAGCCUGAGCUUGCAGCUUGUUGAGUACGUGUGCUGCCAGGCCUGUUACUGUUUGUAGCUCCUAGGAACAGCAAUUGGUGAACUGCUGGGUCUGACAAAGAACCCCAAAUCCUGUCAGUUUAUCAGAUGCACUCAGUGUUCUGUUUCCUUUUUUUUCAGAUUGAUCUUGAGGAAUGUCAGGUUUUUGGAUUCUGAACAUGGUGAAUGCAUGAGGUUUCCUCAGACUUGAUGGAAUUUUAGAUGCCCAAAGAACUGUCUGUUCAAAUGAUGAAGCAACCUGUAAUCUAAACAGACAAACAGGGCUACAGGCACACCGCAGCUACCGCUACAGCAAAUUCGACAAGAUCUCUGUACGGACUUGAAAAUCUCCUUUAGCUGUAGCAUUGAAAAUCACGGUGUCAAACUCACCACGCCUGAGCAGAGGAGCAGAGCAGCCGGACCAUCGCCCUCUGGAGGUGUGACUGAUCACGGUUCCACCGCUGGAUGCAGGAGCUUCGGUUUCUCUGGCACGUCUCACCCCAAGGCACGGGAAGUCACCUUGCUGUCUAUACAAAUUCCUAUUUGUAGUGUUAUUUUUGCUGUUUUAUUUUUAUGAACCUCCUGAUACAAGAGACGUAUUCUGAUCAGAUGUGAUUAUGAAUCUCUCUUCCAGAGACAAAAUCUUUUUUUUUUUUUUUUUUGUAUUCUGCAUGCUUUAAAUUGUUUAAAGCCUC